GUCCUUCCUCUGCCUCCCUUCCUUACCAAAACUGUUGCCUCUUCUUUCUGUCUCUGCAGGGAUGUCAGAAAGGGCCUGGUGAAAGGAGGGGAGAAGCCCCCAGCAGCUGGAAGUCACUCAAGGAGGGGAUGCUGAGUGUCGGAAGCCACCUCUACCCUCAGACAGAGCCCCCAGGACAUGCAGCUGGCCUGCCCUUUGCCAUCCUUGCUUUCCUAGAGGCUUUUGUUAGGUUGACUACCUCCUCACAGACCCCCUUUCUCCAUCAGUUCUCCUUCUUGAGGCUCUCUGCAUCUUUGGCAUCAGCACUUGGCUUUGAAAAGGCUGGUGCAGUUCCCCUGCUAUUGCACCAUCUGUAAAAGCCAGAAGAAGGGGAGAAGCAGAAAGGAAAAAGUAAGACCAUCUGCACCCUGUGAGGAAGGAACGUCUCCUGGAAUCAUGUAGGGGGCUAAGCCACACACUCCCUGUGCUCCAUCACAUGGGAAGUGGAGCCUCGUUUCCCCAGUGCCUCGGGGAGGAUGGAUGAAGAUGCACAAGGGUUUCUGCAGCUCAUCCCACCCUUGCCUGGGUGGUAGCACCCAGCACUGCUGGCAGCUUCAGAGUCAGGCAAGGGGAUGAGAAGGGGGUGAGAAGGUUUUGGGGUCUGUGAGCUAGACAGGGCAGGAAGACGGCUGCAUCCUAGAUGUGUGUAUGUCAUGGCCAGGAGCUCCCCGGUGUCCCCCAGAGCCAGCACCUGGCCUGCUUUGCUGCCUCUCCCCUCCUUGUGCCCUCCUUCUUAGAGAGGCUGCUCCUGGGAAGGGUCCCUGGAGGAGGAGCAGAAAUGGAGCAGCGAGUGCCCCCAAUUAACUUUGUGGUGAAGCAUUUUGCUGGCUGGCCCAUGAAAUAUGUGUGCUGACAGGCAUGCUGGGGGGGCAUAGGGUAUCUGUGGGGUGCUACCAGGGGCCCAAAGGAGAGGGGUGAGCUGAAGGUUGUUAGGCCGGGGGUACCAGUGAUACUGAUCAGAGGAUCCGCAUGCUGAGCAUCAGUAUCAACCUCUGCAAGGUGCAUCAGGCAAUAGGAUGGACUGUGGUGCUGUGAUGGCACUGUGACCCCAUCAGUGUCCGCUGGGACAUUUCGGAGCCAAGUGUACCUUCAUGCCACUGCCCCCUGCCACCACUGAAUUUAACCCUUCAUCCUACCUGCUCAUCCAGCCCACCAUGGGUCAGACCCUGACUACACUUCGGAGAGGCUUUGUCCUUCUGUUGGCUUUCUAUCCCCAUCACCCCUUCGAGCUGGCGGUGAUGGGAUCUGAUGGGGAUCCUGGUCCACUCCAGAAGGUCAUGGAGGGUCCACGGUAAGCUGGAGCCCAGUGGAGGUGAGGGGAUCUUGGCACAUUGAUGGCACCCCUGCUGCCAGUGGUGGGGUGGGAGGUGAGAGGACAUACCUUACCCAUUUCUGGGUAUAAGUAACGCCCAACUCAGGGCUCUGAUGCUGAGCAUUUCCACCAGGCAGCCACUGCCAACCCAGCUACUGAGGAAAUCACCCAAAUCCCAUGAGUGGUUGAACAGAACCCCAGAACAACGUUAGUCACACUUUCUUUUCUCUUUCAUAUUUGUCCCCUCCAGCCUGUGUGAAUGCUGAGCUGACGAGUGGUUCCUGGCUUGGUGAUACGAGAGCUUCUCUCUUUGGGUAGGAGUUUGGGUAGUAUCCUUUGUGGUAACACCAUCCUGGGAGGAAUGGGACAGGAGCAGCAAUGUUGGCGGCUAAACAGGGGCUGGAGCAGAUACUUGGAGGGUGGCAGGAAAAGCCCAUGUGUGUGACUUGCAUUUACCUGCACGUUGUAGCAAAGCCCUCUCCUCUCGCCUUGUAUCGUGAAGACCAACUUGAGAAGAGCCAUUGAAGCAAGAGCGUCCACUCAGUUGUCAAAGAGGGCAGAACUGUCCAGUAGUUGACUUUCUUGCUGGUGUUUGAGGAACUCCUCCUCCCCCCCCAAUAAAUUCACAUAAAUGAGGACCA
rnacentral:lncRNA from 14 species